CGGCGUGCUGGCGGAAACCGGAAGUGGUUCAACUGACACCGGAAGCGAUCUUUCCGCCAUUAAAAGCCGCUCGAAAUCAAAUUAUAACGGUCGGGUUACUUCGCAAUUAUAUUUCGAUAUAUUGCUCAACUUGCCGGCUAGCCCACGGGGCAGGAAACAACCACUACCACCAUGAGGCGCCCUAACCGUUUUCGUGGCGCCCGACUCGGCUGCUCCCCGCUCAGAUAGACGUCUCCUGAGCAUUGGAAACCCACUUUAGAUAUCUUAAUACGACAGAGAAGUACUUGGUUAAAUUUAACACGUUUUUCAAGUUAUUUUCUCAAUAAGAGUGUGAAGAUGUUUUGCUUCCUUUGUAAACGACGAAAGGAAUGAACCUGAUUCUCUGUGUAAUCUGCUGAUUUGAUUUAAUGCGAAAAGUCCUCUAAGGGAGGUGGGCUAUGGAGAUGACGAAAACUCAAGUCUGCAGAAGAGCCUGCAGACCACCGUCUCCCUCUUCCACCACAACCACUGCUACCAGCGAGGCUCCAAGGAUUAGAAAAACCUCCAGGUGGCAUCAUUGGACACUUCAUAAGAAGUGUCUGCGUCAUGAACGACACUUCAGGACAACAUGAAGUCCAGGUGGAAACUGCUCCUGAUGGUGGCACUCUUCCCUCAUUUGCAGCUGAGAAAGAUUCACAGACCAUGAAAGAAGACAGCGGAGAAGUAUUUCUGACCUCUUCUCCCACAGAAACGAGUUUAAAGAGAACCAGGGAAGUGGCAAAUACCAAACCUGGACACCAGGAUCUUCCCUGCACACAAUCUUCUCCUGAGUCAGGAAACACUCAGACUAAGAAAAAGAUAAAAACAUCGUUUUGGUUAACCCUGUCCCAACUGUUUCAUGAUAAGGCUAGAUCCAACAGUCCAGGACUUAAACAACUGACUAAGGAAACCAUCCCCAAUCACGAGCUAGUCUGCUUUGGGUUACCCAACAGCGGGAUGACUUGCUACAUGAACUCCAUCCUCCAAAGCCUCCUGACCCUGAGCUGCUUUGUUCAGGAGAUCCACACCCAGCUGCCGGUGUGGAGCUCUCACCCCGGAUCUCAGAUCUUUGGGUACACCACUCCACACAUUUCAUGAUAAGGUCACCCAACCUGGGGCUUACUUGCUACAUGAACUCCAUCCUCCAAAGCCUCCUGACCCUGAGCUGCUUUGUUCUAGAGAUCCACACCCAGCUGUCGGUGUGGAUCUCUCACCCCAGAGCCCAGCUCUUCAGGUACAGCCCACCAGACAACAAAACAGGGGUGUCAAAGUCCAGUCUUCGAGGGCCGGCGUCCUGCCAGGAACACAUCUAAAAGUUGCAGGGCUUUGGACUGAUUGGAGCUUAAAGCCAUGCUCUAAAAGAUCUAGGGCUGCAACUAACAAUUAUUUUAAUAUAUUAACCAGUCAAUUUUUUUUGAUUGAUCAAUGAAUCGGACAAAAAAGUUUAUGUUUUCAAUUUCCAGCUCUUCUUCAAAGAGUCAAAAAGGUUGUCAGACAUUUAAAACUUUGUUUUUCUUGUGAGGGUUUUACAUUUUUGAGGAUGUCCUUUAAGGACACUUUUUUGUUUUUUCCAUAAGGGUCUUUAAUUUUGGUCUGCAUCUUAUCAUUCUGAGUGUCUCAAAAUGUUGUUAUGGUUACAUAAUAACAAAAGACUUGAUUCUGGAAAAGUUAGUUUGUAGCCUUGCUCCUCACUACCAUACAGUUCCUUCACUCAGACGUCUGCAAAUUAAAACUUUAAAGUUGAAUUAACAAAUUAUUACCAUCCAUCAGUCGGAACGACAUUGUAUUUGAGUGAGGGCAGGUUUAUGCGGAUCCAUAAUCCGAUCAGCGUCCGUUUUAACUCAUGAACUUGCUGCGCAUGCAUAUGGAGGACGGGGCAGCAGCGCUUUGAGGGAUGAUCAUUUCCUCCCAACAUCUGCAGCACCAUGAGUUGCUGAGCCCGGUGUUUAAUUAUGGAAACCAGUAAUGCCUCAGCCACUCUCAUUGUAUUCCACUUGUUUUUGGCUGAUGUUCACCAACCAUUCAUGCAAUUUUAUUUAUUAAUUUUUUAAAUUAAUAAUCGAUUCUUG